rnacentral:rRNA from 1 species
GGUGAACGCUGGCGGCGUGCUUAAGACAUGCAAGUCGAACGGCAGUCUUCGGACUGUAGUGGCGCACGGGUGAGUAACGCGUAACUGACCUACCCCAAAGUCGCGGAUAACGAUUCGAAAGAAUCGCUAAUACGUGAUGUGCUGUCAGAUUGUGUUCUGCCAGUAAAGAUUGAUUGCUUUGGGAUGGGGUUGCGUUCCAUCAGCUAGUUGGUGGGGUAAAGGCCCACCAAGGCGACGACGGAUAGCCGGCCUGAGAGGGUGGCCGGCCACAGGGGCACUGAGCCACGGGUCCCACUCCUACGGGAGGCAGCAGUUAGGAAUCUUCCACAAUGGGCGAAAGCCUGAUGGAGCGACGCCGCGUGAGGGAUGAAGGUCUUCGGAUCGUAAACCUCUGAAUCAGGGACGAAAGACACUUCGGUGGGAUGACGGUACCUGAGUAAUAGCACCGGCUAACUCCGUGCCAGCAGCCGCCGUAACAC